rnacentral:rRNA from 1 species
AUUGAACGCUGGCGGCACGCCUUACACAUGCAAGUCGAACGGCAGCACGGGAGCAAUCCUGGUGGCGAGUGGCGAACGGGUGAGUAAUAUAUCGGAACGUGCCCAGUCGUGGGGGAUAACGCAGCGAAAGCUGUGCUAAUACCGCAUACGAUCUAAGGAUGAAAACGGGGGAUCGCAAGACCUCGCGCGAUUGGAGCGGCCGAUAUCAGAUUAGCUAGUUGGUGGGGUAAAGGCCCACCAAGGCGACGAUCUGUAGCUGGUCUGAGAGGACGACCAGCCAAACUGGAACUGAGACACGGUCCAGACUCCUACGGGAGGCAGCAGUGGGGAAUUUUGGACAAUGGGCGCAAGCCUGAUCCAGCAAUGCCGCGUGCAGGAUGAAGGCCUUCGGGUUGUAAACUGCUUUUGUACGGAACGAAACAGCCCUUUCUAAUGCAGGGGGCUAAUGACGGUACCGUAAGAAUAAGCACCGGCUAACUACGUGCCAGCAGCCGCGGUAAAAC